rnacentral:rRNA from 1 species
UCCCAGCAGUCCAAGUCGCAGCCACAUUUGUUGGGUCUAAAACAUCCGUAGCUUGCUAUUCAAGUCUUUUGUGAAAUCGGGACUCUUAAGGUUCCGGCGGGCAAAAGAUACUGUUUAGCUAGAGACCGGAAGACGCAUCGAGUACAGAAAGGGUAGUGGUAAAAUACGUUGAUCCUUUCUGGACUAACAACAGCGAAGGCACGGUGCGAGCACGGUUCUGACAGUGAGGGAUGAAGGCUAGGGGCGCAAA